ACCCAGGUGACGAGUCCCAACUGGGGCGAAACGCGCGUCCUGAAU
rnacentral:hammerhead_ribozyme from 1 species